ACGUGAUGAGUUAUUAGAUGACGAGUCUGAUUUGGGCAUCUACCCAAUGCGGAUAACUUUUAUACCUUUCCAUUCAUGCAACACUGAAC
rfam:Colletotrichum gloeosporioides Cg-14 contig01848, whole genome shotgun sequence.